rnacentral:lncRNA from 1 species
AACUCCAGGGUAAUGAUAAUAAGGAGAACCUCAACCGUUAUCGGAAUUAGCAGGAGGCUUAUCAGGCACAGCCACAUCAGAUUCCGUGGUAUCUUCAUCGUUUUAUUUGUCAUAUUUUUUACCGUUGCGCUGGCGUAACCGAUGUGAGUGUGUGCGCUCAUCGUGAUGUCUCCUCGUUCAAUACCGAUACCCAGGUUAAACAUUUUUUUCCUUUUAUGAUUUUUAUUAUGCUUCACCAUGUUUGCGGUUUCAUGUUUUGUGGACAGGCAUCCCAUUCCUUAUUUAACCGGAAAAUAAAAAUGCCAUUCAACAUGAUUAUCGUAGGUAUGACGGCUUGUGGGAAGACUCAUUACCUCAUUCAGGAACUAAAGACGACGUUCUUUCAUCAAUUUGAGAAUAUAUUCCUGAUUUGUCCUACCUAUCACUGGAAUAAGACCUAUGAUCAGGAUUUCAUUCAUGAGGACGACAAUUUCUUUGUUAUUCCCUGUCCGCAGAAUGACGUGGAGGAUUACUUUUAAUUCGUGGUGGACUUCACCAAGGGAAGGGAAUCCCUCAUCAUUUUGG